rnacentral:rRNA from 1 species
UGCGUAGGCGGACCCAUAAGUCAGUGGUGAAAGUUUGCAGCUCAACUGUAAAAUUGCCAUUGAAACUGUGGGUCUUGAGUGUAAAUGAGGUAGGCGGAAUGUGUUGUGUAGCGGUGAAAUGCUUAGAUAUAACACAGAACACCAAUUGCGAAGGCAGCUUACUGGGAUACAACUGACGCUGAGGCACGAAAGCGUGGGGAUCAAACAGGAUUAGAUACCCUGGUAGUCCACGCAGUAAACGAUGAAUACUAGCUGUAUGCGAUAUACUGUAUGUGGCAAAGCGAAAGCGUUAAGUAUUCCACCUGGGGAGUACGUUCGCAAGAAUGAA